UGGGGAAUCUUGGACAAUGGGCGCAAGCCUGAUCCAGCCAUGCCGCGUGAGUGAAGAAGGCCUUAGGGUUGUAAAGCUCUUUUGGCAGGGACGAUAAUGACGGUACCUGCAGAAUAAGCCCCGGCAAACUUCGUGCCAGCAGCCGCGGUAAUACGAAGGGGGCUAGCGUUGUUCGGAUUUACUGGGCGUAAAGCGCACGUAGGCGGAUUGUUAAGUCAGGGGUGAAAUCCCGGAGCUCAACUCCGGAACUGCCUUUGAUACUGGCAAUCUUGAGGCUGGAAGAGGUUGGUAGAAUUCCCAGUGUAGAGGUGAAAUUCGUAGAUAUUGGGAAGAAUACCAGUGGCGAAGGCGGCCAACUGGUCCAGAUCUGACGCUGAGGUGCGAAAGCGUGGGGAGUAAACA
rnacentral:rRNA from 1 species